CAUCAAGGAUACAGUUGAUAUAUUAGUUGGAUGGCAUAUAGAUCAUACUCAGAAACCUUCGCUCACGCAGCAGGUAUCUGGGUGGUUGCAGAGUUUGGAGCCAUUUUGGGUAGCUGAUCUUGCAUUUUCUACGACUCUUCUUGGUCAUUUUCUAGAAGACAUGGAAGCAUAUGCUGAGGACCUCAGCCAUGUGGCCUCUGGGGAAUCAGUGGAUGAAGACGUCCCUCCUCCAUCAGUGUCAUUACCAAAGCUGACUGCGCUUCUCCGGGUAUUUAGUACUGUGGUGAGGAGCAUUGGGGAACGCUUCAGCCCAAUUCGGGUCCUCCGAUUACUGAGGCAUACGUAACAGAUAUUCUGUACAGAGUAAUGAGAUGUGUGACGGCUGCAAACCAGGUGUUUUUUUCUGAGGCUGUGUUGACAGCUGCUAAUGAGUGUGUUGGUGUUUUGCUCGGCAGCUUGGAUCCUAGCAUGACUAUACAUUGUGACAUGGUCAUUACAUAUGGAUUAGACCAACUGGAGAAUUGCCAGACUUGUGGUACCGAUUAUAUCAUCUCAGUCUUGAAUUUACUCAUGCUGAUGUGGGCGCUAUCUCCAACUGUCUUUGCACUUCUGAGUAAGAAUCUGAUGAUUGUGCACAGUGACCUGGCUGUUCACUUCCCUACCAUUCAGUAUGCUGUGCUCUACACUUUGUAUUCUCAUUGUACCAGGCAUGAUCACUUUAUCUCUAGUAGCCUCAGUUCUUCCUCUCCUCCUUUGUUUGAUGGAGCUGUGAUUAGCACUGUAACUACGGCCACAAAGAAACAUUUCUCAAUUAUGUUAAAUCUUCUGGGAAUAUUACUUAAGAAAGAUAACCUUAACCAGGACACGAGGAAACUGUUAAUGACUUGGGCUUUGGAAGUAGCUGUUUUAAUGAAGAAGUCCGAAACAUAUGCACCUUUAUUCUGUCUUCCGUCUUUCCAUAAAUUUUGCAAAGGCCUUUUAGCCAACACUCUCGUUGAAGAUGUGAAUAUCUGUCUGCAGGCAUGCAGCAGUCUACACGCUCUGUCCUCUUCCUUGCCAGAUGAUCUUUUACAGAGAUGUGUUGAUGUUUGCCGUGUUCAACUAGUGCACCGUGGAACUCGUAUUCGACAAGCAUUUGGAAAACUGUUGAAAUCAAUUCCUUUAGAUGUUGUCCUAAGCAAUAACAAUCACACAGAAAUUCAAGAAAUUUCUUUAGCAUUAAGAAGUCACAUGAGUAAAGCACCAAGUAAUACAUUCCACCCCCAAGAUUUCUCUGAUGUUAUUAGUUUUAUUUUGUAUGGGAACUCUCAUAGAACAGGGAAGGACAAUUGGUUGGAAAGACUGUUCUAUAGCUGCCAGAGACUGGAUAAGUGUGACCAGUCAACAAUUCCACGCAAUCUCCUGAAGACAGAUGCUAUCUUUUGGCAGUGGGCCAUAUGGGAAGCUGCACAAUUCACUGUUCUUUCUAAGCUGAGAACCCCACUGGGCAGAGCUCAAGACACCUUCCAGACAAUUGAAGGUAUCAUUCGAAGUCUCGCAGCUCACACAUUAAACCCUGAUCAGGAUGUUAGUCAGUGGACAACUGCAGACAAUGAUGAAGGCCAUGGUCAUUAGAGCUUUUUUCUAUACCAGUUGCCAAACUUGUCAGGACUGGCUAACGCGGAUUCGACUCUCCAUCAUGAGGGUAGGAUUGUUGGCAGGCCAGCCUGCAGUGACAGUGAGACAUGGCUUUGACUUGCUUACAGAGAUGAAAACAACCAGCCUAUCUCAGGGGAAUGAAUUGGAAAUAACCAUUAUGAUGGUGGUAGAAGCACUAUGUGAACUUCAUUGUCCUGAAGCUAUACAGGGAAUUGCUGUCUGGUCAUCAUCUAUUGUUGGAAAAAAUCUUCUGUGGAUUAACUCAGUGGCUCAACAGGCUGAAGGGAGGUUUGAAAAGGCCUCUGUGGAGUACCAGGAGCACCUGUGUGCCAUGACAGGUGUUGAUUGCUGCAUCUCCAGCUUUGACAAAUUGGUGCUCACCUUAGCCAAUGCUGGGUGUAACAGUGCCAGCCCGAAACAUUGUCUGAAUGGUGAAUCCAGAAAAACUGUGCUGUCCAAACCGACUGACUCUUCCCCUGAGGUUAUAAAUUAUUUAGGAAAUAAAGCAUGUGUGAGUGCUACAUCUCAAUUGCCGAUUGCGCUGCUGUGCAGGAAUGGCAGAAUGCUAUCCAUGACUUGAAAAAGAGUACCAGUAGCACUUCCCUCAACCUGAAAGCUGAAUUCAACUAUAUAAACCGCCUGUCUUGGCCCCCCAAAGUGCCGAGAUUGCAGCCUCUGCCCGGCCGCUACCCCGUCUGGGAAGUGAGGAGCGUCUCUGCCUGGCCGCCCAUCGUCUGGGAUGUGAGGAGCCCCUCUGCCUGGCUGCCCAGUCUGGAAAGUGAGGAGUGUCUCUGCCCGGCCGCCAUCCCAUCUAGGAAGUGAGGAGCGUCUCUGCCCGGCCGCCCAUCGUCUGAGAUGGGAGCGCCUCUGCCCCGCCGCCCCGUCUGGGAGAUCAUUAAGCAGCUUCGAGUCUGGAAAAUUUGUUGAAUGUACUGAGCAAUUAGAAUUGUUACCAGGAGAAAAUAUCAAUCUACUUGCUGGAGGAUCAAAAGAAAAAAUAGACAUGAAAAACCUGCUUCGUAACAUGUUAAGUCCAGAUCCAAGGGAACCUCAGAAAUCCAUUGAAGUUCAAUUGUUAAGAAGUUCUGUUUGUUUGGCAACUGCUUUAAACCCGAUAGAACAAGAUCAGAAGUGGCAGUCUAUAACUGAAAAUGUGGUAAAGUACUUGAAGCAAACAUCCCGCAUCGCUGUUGGACCUCUGAGACUUUCUACUUUAACAGUUUCACAGUCUUUGCCAGUUCUAAGUACCUUGCAGCUGUAUUGCUCACCUGCUUUGGAGAACACAGUUUCUAACAGACUUUAAACAGAGGACUGUCUUAUUCCACUCUUCGGUGAAGCUUUACGUUCAUGUAAACAGCAUGAUGUGAGGCCAUGGAUGCAGGCAGUAAGGUAUACUAUGUACCAGAAUCAGUUGUUGGAGAAAAAUUAAAGUUAAGUGGUUUUCCUUUUUUUUUUUGUAAGAGAAAAUUAAAGGUGUUUUUUUUUUUAAA